rnacentral:rRNA from 1 species
CCAGCCAAGUCGCGUGAGGGAGGACGGCCCUACGGGUUGUAAACCUCUUUUNCCGGGGAGCAACGGGCGUCACGUGUGGCGCCACUGAGAGUACCCGGAGAAAAAGCAUCGGCUAACUCCGUGCC